CUUGAAUGAAAAUUACACUAUUUCUCCUCCUUCACACAGAAAUAAGGAGGAAGUAGGAGGAGGAAGAGUAGAAAUAGUAUAAUUUUCGUCAAAGGAGUACAACUUUAGUUCAAAAAGUGCAACUUUUAUUUUAAAAAAUUUAAUUUUUCUCUCAAAUAAUGUAAGUUUUCUUUAAAAUAAUAUAACGUUCCUCUGAAAUAAUAUAAUUUUAUUAUUUUCUUCUUUUCUCUCUGAUUUUUCUUUUUUUCUUGUAGCUUCUUUCGACCCUCUCCGACCCUCAUCGGCUUGGCCUCCACCGUCUCCACGGUCCUUGACGAUGGUAACAAGGGCAGUGCCAUAUCCUCUUUCUUCAUCUCCUCCUCUGCUGACGCCGGCAGCUCUUAGCUACGGUAACAAGGGCAGCGCCGCCUCAGCCUCAGCCUCCACCUUCACCGACGCUGAAGAAGAAGAACUCGAAGCAGACCCAGAUGAGGGAGGAGCAGACCAAGGCGAUGAGAUUAUUGUCAAGGAGGUGCUUGCCGCUUCGAGUGUAAAUUUAAAAGUGUAAAACAAUCCAAACCUGAUAAAAUUUUUAUAAAAUUUUUUUUCACUAUUUAGAAUAAGAUCAAUACCUUUGAUUUUAAACUCAAAUUUUUUACAAUCAUUUUUUAUGAUAUUUUUAUUUUCAGCCGUUUAUUUUUAAACUACUCGUUUGAUAGGUAAAUUUCGUCGAAGAAUUAUAAAAUUUAGUUUUCAAAUACUUUUAAUAGUAUAGAUCAAAUCAAAUAAGCUAAUCGUUGAUUUAAAAACCGCAUCAUUAAAAAUAACUUAGGAGUACGAAGUACAAAGGGGUAUAUAACAUGUUUGAUUUCAAGUGCAAGUGGGGGCGUAAAUUAGCCGAACCCGAGUCAACAAAGGUAACUCAAUUGUUAUAUUUUUAUCUUUUUUUAUUUUUAAUCAAAAAUUGACCUUAAACCGCUUCAUUUAGUUAGCAAAUGAAUACGAUGCUUGCUUACCAACUGCUUAUUGAAAAAUUUGCCAACCGGAAGUUAUUAGUAAUUUUUCCAGCUAUGUAUUUAUAGAGAACCCACAAAUCAUCUGCAAUAAGGCUCCGUUUUGAAUUACAGAAAAAUUAUGUUACGUGCAGUGAGAAAAUACGAUAAAAAAAUAACUUACUUAUUUUUAUAUAUAAUAUCGCAUUUUAUGUGUUAGAAUUAGUCGGUGAUAAUAUAUUUUCUACAGCUUCAUUAAAAAAUAUAAAAAAUAUUUUUAUAUAUUUUUAUUCUAAUUUUAUUUUACCUAUUACUAUUAUAUAGAUCGAUGAA
rnacentral:lncRNA from 1 species